GAAGGAAGGAAGGAAGGAAGGAAGGAAGGAAGGAGGGAGGGAGGGAGGGAGGGAGGGAGGAAGGAAGGAAGGAAGGAAGGAAGGAAGGAAGGAAGGAAGGAAGGAAGGAAGGAAGGAAGGAAUAGAGGAUUGAUGGACGCAUGGAAGUAUGGAAGGGUCAAUGAACAUAGUGAUGGAUGGACAGACAGGUCGCUAUAGACAGGUAGCUGAAGAAUGACAGACAGGUAGCUAUAGACUGACAGACAGGUGGCUAUAGACUGAUACACAGGUAGCUCUAGACAGACAGACAGACAGACAGACAGACAGACAGCUCUAGACAGACAGACAGGUAGCUCUAGACAGACAGACAGGUAGCUCUAGACAGACAGACAGGUAGCUGUAGACAGACAGACAGGCAGCUGUAGACAGACAGACAGGUAGCUGUAGACAGACAGACAGGCAGCUGUAGACAGACUGACAGGUAGCUCUAGACAGACAGGUAGCUGUAGACAGACAGACAGACAGACAGACAGACAGGUAGCUCCAGACAGACAGACAGACAGACAGGUAGCUGAGUCUAGACAGACAGACAGGUAGCUGCAGACAGACAGACAGGCAGCUGUAGACAGACAGACAGGCAGCUGUAGACAGACAGACAGGUAGCUCUAGACAGGUAGACAGUUAGCUCUAGACGGACAGACAGACAGACAGACAGGUAGCUGUAGACAGACAGACAGGCAGCUCUAGACAGACUGACAGGCAGCUGUAGACAGACAGACAGGUAGCUCUAGACAGAUAGACAGUUAGCUCUAGACGGACAGACAGACAGGCAGCUGUUGACAGACAGACAGGCAGCUGUAGAGGUGGGGCUAGGAGAGCAGAGGCAGUGAGUGGGUGCUGGCGGCGUUGUACCCGCAGCAGGAGGGGGAGGGAGGGGGGCUGGGAGAGGAGGGGGGAGGAGGGGGAUGGGUGGAGGUGGGCCCCUGGGGCUCCCCCGUGGCCCCUGGUCCACAGCCCAUUGGGGCCCCGGGGCCCUGAGUUCGGCCCAGGGGCCUGCGCAGCGGGGUUGGGGAGCAGGAGGCCUGGCGGGGGAAGGGGGGCCCGCUAGGAGAGGAGAAGCCCCCAGACACAGAGUGGCGCCCGGGAGACACUUGGGGUCCGGAUGGGUGGGGGCGUCCCGGAGAGGGGUGGAGACCCACUGUGGUCCCGCCCACGCUGCCGGGGUACUCCGGGAGGUGUUGGGCCGAUCCCGGAGACUUGGGGAUUUAGGGGACUUGGG
ensembl:lncRNA